CUUUCACUGAAGCGGGUCGACCCGGUUGGUGAUCAUUGGGUAACUGCCAAUAACUGUAAGAUAGAAACAUUUUCUCUCUAUUUAACUGCCUUACAGGUAUCUCACCUUCUCUCAACUAUUUGGGGUCAAAGUCUUACUAAAGAAGCUCCAUUGUUUGAGUCUCUCUGUGCCCUAAUGUGGCAAUGCAUAGCUAAAGUUAGAGAGGAGCAUGAGCCCAGAAUAGUGACUAUUUGCAAAAAAAAUCCCAAUUAUUCAAAAAGUGGGAUUUUAAGCAAUAGUCAAAUUGUAAGUUCUGUUGAGGCUGAAUUUUCCAUCAAACACUCAGAUUUGAAAAAAUUGGCAAUUUUGCUAGCUGAUCAAGCUAUCGAUGACAGAACCCUAAUUGAAGAACUAGUGGAGAAAGAUAAUGGAGCGUCUGAUUACAUAAUAUAUGGAGCGAAUUUGACAUUUGUAGAUUUUGAAAAAGCUAAUUUAUAUGGAUUGGAAUUGAGUGAAUAUAAACCAAAGUUUGUAGACUACACUAUUGAAGGAGUUGGAGACGAAGGUGCUGUGGUCGUGCUUCCAUGGUCAGAAGACUCUGCUGAUUACAGCAGCAAAGGAAGAGUUGUGACUGUAAUUUUGCCGGAAAAUGAAAUAACAGAGCUGAAAUAUGAGCUGAAAGAGAAUGGUCUAUUGCUUAAAGGUGAUCUUGAAUAAGUAGAUGGUUGAUGAUUUUAAUCAACUAGUGUGGAGAGAGGCUUUGGUGGGGAUUGAAGAUUUUAUAUUUGUCAUAACAAUAACAAUAAUUAUUAUGUUGUCAUGAUUCCUGGUUCAGUUUUUGUUUUCUAGGUUGCUACAAAUAGAUUUUCCAUCUCAGUUUAAGCUUUACAGUCUUGAAAAUACUACCAAAUUAAAGCUCAUUGAUACUUAGUCUAGAUUUUUGUUUGUUGUGUUUGGGUUUAGUAAAUGGACUGCCAUCUACCCAAUUUAAUUGAGGAUUUAUCUAAUUAGCAGAAUGAUUGUGUAAAAUUUGUGAUAAUUU
rnacentral:misc_RNA from 1 species